rnacentral:rRNA from 1 species
ACGCUCGACACCUACGGGAGGCAGCAGUGGGGAAUAUUGGGCAAUGGGCGCAAGCCUGACCCAGCAACGCCGCGUGAAGGAAGAAGGCUUUCGGGUUGUAAACUUCUUUUAUUAAGGACGAAGCAAUGACGGUACUUAAUGAAUAAGCUCCGGCUAACUACGUACCAGCAGCCGCGGUAAUCUGAGCGGGCUGGCAAGGC